AUUUAAAAACCAACAAUGACUUGCUCACCAUCUCAAGUUGCUUUCCAUCAAAACUUCAUUAUGGCUGGUAGAUGGUUAGCUCAGACAACCAACCAUGUUGAAUCUAAAUCUACUUGUGUCACUACAGUUAAUGCAUUUGCCAAGUUCAAGCAAAUGGACAUGGAAACCAAAACCACAGUGACAAGAACAAGGUUUGGCCCGGUUGGACGAAGUGGUACUGAUGUUAAAGAUAUGCUGCUACGCUGGUGUCAAACAAAAACUUCCGGGUACCCGCAUGUUAAUGUUGUAAACUUUUCCUCUUCAUGGUGUGAUGGGAUGGCCUUUUGUGCUCUUAUUCAUCAUUAUUAUCCAGAUGCAUUCGACUUCAGCACUUUGGAUCCCAAAAAUCGUCGAUCUAAUUUUGAUUUGGCCUUUAAGACUGCUGAAGAAAAGGCUGAUAUUGCUCCCCUUCUUGAUGUUGAUGAUAUGAUAUUGAUGAAAGACAAACCAGAUUGGAAAUGCGUUUUCACAUACGUACAAAGCAUGUACAGGAAGCUGAGAGAACUUGACUAUAGAGAAAUUCAGGAUUGAAUUUAAAUUCAUUGUGACAUCAGCAUUCGAUUCAUUCAUCUCUCAUCCCAACAAAAGUUCAAGGUAAAAGAAGAAUCGAUAAAUAAAUUGUGAUUGGAGUAUCUCCGAGUAUAACAUCAAAUAUAGUGGCGAAUUUCGAUGAACAGACCAAAAGAUGGACAAAAACAGAGAUGUGAAUGGAUAGUUUGUUGGCUCUUUUUCAAUCCAACAUGCAAACAAAAAGCAUGGGAAAUUGGAUUCCUUAGGUAGGAAAAAAGCAAUAUGAAUGAUAAAAGUGAUGAGGGGUGGAUGAUUAUUAUCAGAGAGAAAGGUAAAAUGAAACCGCAAUAUGUUAAAAGGGAUUCUCAGGCUUUGGAUGAUUACAUUUUGUUCAAUUUUAA